UGAACGCUGGCGGCGUGCUUAACACAUGCAAGUCGCACGAGAACGCUUCAGCUUGCUGAAGCAAGUAAAGUGGCGCACGGGUGAGUAACGCGUGGGUAAUCUACCCUUGAAUUGGGGAUAACCCGCCGAAAGGCGGGCUAAUACCGAAUGACAUCUUGAAAACGUAUGUUUUCAGGAUCAAAGAUGGCCUCUACAUGUAAGCUAUUGUUUGAGGAUGAGCCCGCGUACCAUUAGCUUGUUGGUAGGGUAAUGGCCUACCAAGGCUACGAUGGUUAGCUGGUCUGAGAGGAUGAUCAGCCACACUGGAACUGACACACGGUCCAGACUCCUACGGGAGGCAGCAGUGAGGAAUUUUGCGCAAUGGGGGAAACCCUGACGCAGCAACGCCGCGUGAGUGAUGAAGGCUUUCGGGUCGUAAAGCUCUGUCAAGUGGGAAGAAAUCAUAUAGAAUUAAUACUGCUAUAUAUUGACGGUACCACUGAAGGAAGCACCGGCUAACUCC
rnacentral:rRNA from 1 species